CCCCCAUGUAAUUUAUAUCAAAACUGUACAAAAUAUUUUUAGGAACUGGAAACCCCAUAAAAAUCACUUCAAGUCAUUGUCUAAGUAUUUCUAAGGUUUUCUGUGUAUCACCCUUUUAAAAUCCCUACCAAGAGCACCAUAAAAUUUUGAUAAGGGCUUCACAUCUGACAGCCCAAGCCUGAACAGUCCAAAACAUAAAACAGUACUUUAAAACCUCAGGGGUACCAGUGUGGAGAUGGGCUCUGUUGGAUGCAGUUUUCCUCAGUGCUGGUUGUAGGAGACUGGGUGGUCUUCAAGACAGGUGCUGCUUUUUAAUUUACAGAAAUCCAUAGCACAUACUCAGAGGAGAGAUAUGUUUUCCUUUGAGAGCUACCAUGUCCAGUUACUAUAAAUCAGCUCUUCCCCAGCACAUGCAAUCCCCAAAAUUUGCCUGAAUGAAGGCAAAUUUGCCCCUGUGCACACUAAACAGAGCCAGCCACGGGGAGAAAUCUCAAAUAAAUUGCUGAGCAUUCUUCAAACUCCGACUUCAUGGCCCCCUGCCCUGUGCCACUGCGGCACUGGGGUGACCGUGAGAAGAGCAGCCUGAGUGCCUUAGGGGUUCAGACUCAUGGACUUCCAUGUCCAGUUCAUCCUGUUCACAUGUAAAGUGUGGGUUUCUCCCCAUAAAUUCCCACAGGCAAUUUUCAGGUGCUUGCAUUUACCAUGGACUUUACCCAAACCUGGGCCAGUGAGUGCUCCUGCAGUCUGCCCUGUGUGAGCGGUGGCCUCUUUCUCAUCCUCAGCAGCUCUGGGCAGACGUGUUUGAGGAGGUGUGAAAUGGCCUGGGGUAAAGACAAGGACAAGAAAACCCAGCUCACUUCCUCUGGCUGCUUGAGGGAGGGCAGGACCUUUUUGAAGCUUGGAAGAGAAGAGGAACCCACUACAGAGGAGCUCAGGGAAGUGAUGCUGGCCACCAGGCUUCACCAGUAGUGCUGCUGGUGUGAAAUGGCUCAGGGUAUUUCUUAUCCCACAUCCAGCUCGCUGGGUAGGUACCUCACAGCCUGGUAAGCAUUUCAGUCUUCUGCCAGUCCAGCCCUGUAAUGUGAUCAGUCAUAAAGGUGGCCUGGUUAGAAGGGGGAAAUUACUGAAGAGAAGAAAUUAUCUGAGAAAAGUACUGACAGAGAAAGGACAGCCAGCCUGGCACUGCUGAAGAAUGGGAUGCCCUCUAAAGAUGGGGCUUGUAAGGUAGAAGCAUCU
rnacentral:lncRNA from 1 species